CCCUUAGAUGUCCUGGGCUGCACGCGCGCUACACUGGAAGUUACGGAUUGAGAUACUACCUUGUCCGAAAUGGUCCGGGUAAUCACCUAAAAGCUUGUCAUAAUUGGAAUGAAUUAUUGUAACUAGUAAUCCUGAACGAGGAAUUCCUAGUAAGUCCCAGUCAACAGCUGGUACUGAUUACGUCCCUGCCCUUUGUACACACCGCCCGUCGCUACUACUGAUUGGACGUUUAAGCAAGAUUUUUAAACACUGACAGUGUGUAGUUCACGCUAUACUACAGUGAGAAGAAGAAGAUCGAGCUUACUUGUCUAGAGGAAGUAAAAGUCGUAACA
rnacentral:rRNA from 1 species